AAAUAACCAAAACCAACAUCAACAAAAAAUACGAGAAGGGAGCAAUCUCAUAAACGAUAGCAAGGGGCCAAGGGCACACUUCAUAUUUUUUGGAAAAUAUUUGAUCGAUGAUAACAUUAUGAGUUUAAAUUUCGAAACUCAAAACUGGUCUCGAUCAAGGAUCUCUCGGCUUUCAUCGCACAGGGUGCAAAUGCUAGUUGACUUCAAAAAUAUAAAAGAUCAAGCACAGCACAAGUAACAUAAACUAAUUCUACACAAACAAAACAGAAAUCAAGGCAUCCAAAUACCUCUAGAAAGGUAACAAACAAACUGGCCUCACGCCGAGGAAGCCCUGUCGCCGCAAAAAAAACUUAAAAGUCUUUAUUCGCGUGGCAAAUUCGUCAUUCUCCUUCUUCGCA
rnacentral:lncRNA from 1 species